GAUGAACGCUGGCUACAGGCUUAACACAUGCAAGUCGAGGGGAAACGACGGGGAAGCUUGCUUCCCCGGGCGUCGACCGGCGCACGGGUGAGUAACGCGUAUCCAACCUGCCUCUGACUGAGGGAUAACCCGUCGAAAGUCGGCCUAAUACCUCAUGGCAUCGUCUGCGGGCAUCCAACGACGAUUAAAGAUUUCAUCGGUCAGGGAUGGGGAUGCGUCUGAUUAGCUAGUUGGCGGGGUAACGGCCCACCAAGGCGACGAUCAGUAGGGGUUCUGAGAGGAAGGUCCCCCACAUUGGAACUGAGACACGGUCCAAACUCCUACGGGAGGCAGCAGUGAGGAAUAUUGGUCAAUGGGCGAGAGCCUGAACCAGCCAAGUAGCGUGCAGGAUGACGGCCCUAUGGGUUGUAAACUGCUUUUAUGCGGGGAUAAAGUGAGGGACGUGUCCUUCAUUGCAGGUACCGCAUGAAUAAGGACCGGCUAAUUCCGUG
rnacentral:rRNA from 1 species